rnacentral:hammerhead_ribozyme from 1 species
AUCUAGCUGAAGAGUCCCAAAAUAGGACGAAACGUGCAUCGUAAAU